AACGAACGCUGGCGGCAGGCUUAACACAUGCAAGUCGAGCGCAUCCUUCGGGGUGAGCGGCUGACGGGUGAGUAACGCGUGGGAACAUGCCCAAAGGUACGGAACAACUCCGGGAAACUGGAGCUAAUACCGUAUGUGACCGAGAGGUGAAAGAUUUAUCGCCUUUGGAUUGGCCCGCGUUGGAUUAGCUAGUUGGUGGGGUAAAGGCCUACCAAGGCGACGAUCCAUAGCUGGUCUGAGAGGAUGAUCAGCCACACUGGGACUGAGACACGGCCCAGACUCCUACGGGAGGCAGCAGUGGGGAAUAUUGGACAAUGGGCGCAAGCCUGAUCCAGCCAUGCCGCGUGUGUGAUGAAGGCCUUAGGGUUGUAAAGCACUUUCGCCAGGGACGAUAAUGACGGUACCUGGAUAAGAAGCCCCGGCUAACUUCGUGCCAGCCGCCGCAGUAAAAC
rnacentral:rRNA from 1 species